AGCCGUGUGCCCGAGUGGUUGAGGGACUCGCCUGCAAAGCGGGUUACGCCGGUUCGAUUCCGGUCACGGCUUCGA
rnacentral:tRNA from 1 species